UUCAGGAGCAGGAGAGACUGCAGCAAACAAUCAGCUUUUCAGUGGUACCUGCUCUGUGCCAGGCACUAGGCUAGGUGCUGGGGACUCAGUCAGUCAAGAGGCAUUUAUUAAGCACCUGCUAUGUGCCAGUCACUGUACCAAGCCCUGAAGAUACAAUAAAGACAAAACACAGUCCCUGCUCUUAAGGACCUCACACUCUAAGGGGGAGGCAGCAUGCAAACAAGACCUUGGGACCACUGUGCAUGGAAGAAGAGUACCGAGUUGUGCAGUAAAUGGGUAUCCUAGGCAGAAGGAGGCCAGACAAAGAAGACCAGCCUGAAAUGGAAUGAGUAAUGGUAACUCCUCCCUCACAGUGUUGUGAACAAAUGAGAUAAUGUAUGAAAAGUAUUCUGCAGACCUUGAGGGACAAUUUAAGUGACGGUCAUCAUCAUCAUCUUCAUCAUCAUCAUCGCCAAUAUCUCAAGGGUUAUACACCAUGGGAACUAAAAAGCAUUCUUUCAUUUCUUAA